CUACGGGCCGCUGCAGUGAGGAAUUUUGCGCAAUGGGGGCAACCCUGACGCAGCAACGCCGCGUGAGUGAAGAAGGCCUUUGGGUCGUAAAGCUCUGUCAACAGGGAAGAAGUUACUUCAUAUUAAUAGUAUGUAGUAUUGACGGUACCUGUGGAGGAAGCAUCGGCUAACUCCGUGCCAGCAGCCGCGGUAAUACGGGGGAUGCAAGCGUUAUUCGGAAUCAUUGGGCGUAAAGGGCACGCAGGCGGCUCUGUCAGUCAGAUGUGAAAGCCCGGGGCUCAACCCCGGACGUGCAUUUGAAACAGCAGAGCUUGAGUACGGUAGAGGAAAGCGGAAUUCCUGGUGUAGAGGUGAAAUUCGUAGAUAUCAGGAGGAACACCGGUGGCGAAGGCGGCUUUCUGGACCGAAACUGACGCUGAGGUGCGAAGGCGUGGGUAGCGAACAGGAUUAGAUACCCUGGUAGUC
rnacentral:rRNA from 1 species